AGAUGUGGGAUUCCUGUGUACUAUUKAUGUAGGUGCGCAAUGCAUUAUUGGGUAUAUGCAGAAACUCACAUUUAUGUGUCUUCCAUCUACUUCGAAUCUACUUUUCUUCAUAUCUAGUCAAAAAUGCAUGCCUUUUUAUUGUUAUAUCGAGCCUUCAAAGCGGAAGGUUUGGCCAUAGAGCAGAGAAAGAAGGCUUGCCAAUGGUGGGUGACAGGCCAUGCUCCAGACGGUASAGUACAACAUUAUCUUGUGAAGAUAAAAGAUGCGUGAAUUGGGCUUAAAAUCCAUGCACAGCAGAAUUUUAUGUGUGAAGUUUUGAAAAAAACUACGAAGAAGUGAGAAAGAAGCUCCCAGUGAACUAAUAGUGUGCACAAAGUAAGCUUAAGUAAGCUUGCUGGUACUUGAAAAAAAGCUUGAGUAAAAGCAAGUUGUGAUGUACCAAGUUUGAAAAAUGGGCCUUUCUUCUCAUCUACAUGUAUGGCUGUUAACAUGGUUCUACAAGAUAAACAAGUCACUAUUUCCUUACUAAUAUUGUUUGCUAUGGUUUAUGCAGUGUAGCUAAAAUCAAAUGAGAUUUAUGGAAAGGAGGCUAUGAAAGAGUUACCUUUGUAUCARCCACUCUGAAUCACUCAAUCAAGGGACUGUUAGACCAGGAUAUUCAGUUGUCAGGACUCAAGAUUAAAAUUGUGAACAGUGAACAGGACGAAGAAGAUGCCACAAUGAUGAAAUCAUUUCAGGAAUUGUGUCUGUGAACAGGAUAAUUAGGGCUUUUUUGUUGCAACACUGGAUGUAAACCAAGAGUGCAAACCAACAAGACAACAAUAAUUAUAAAAAUCUUUUAAUAACAA